UGCACCCCUUGCACACAGAAAAACACACAAUGCAUUACUCACACAGACACACAUACACAAGCAAUGCAACCGUUACACACAAUGCAUCCCUUACACACACAGAAACACACAAUGCAUUCAUUACACACACUCAAUGCACCCCUUAAACACAUUCAAUGCAUCCCAUACAUACACAGAAACACACCUUGUAGCCCUUACACAUACAAACACAAUGCAUUCCUUACACACAUAUCAGGACAUCCCUUACACACUCCACCCCCUGUGAACAAACUCAUUGGUGGAACAUGAAGGUGGACCCUGGGACCCAGACCUUGAGCUGUGUAAAGGACCCCCAAAAAAUGGAGCUGCUUCCCG